rnacentral:rRNA from 1 species
GAUGAACGCUGGCGGCGUGCCUAACACAUGCCAGUCGAACGAAGAAAUUAAGAUUGUUUUUCUGGGUGACGUCCUUCGUGACUUAGUGGCAGACGGGUGAGAAAUACCUGGGUAACUUGCCUCACACAGGGGGAUCACAGCUAGAACUGACUGAUAUUUCCGCCUAACCGGAUAGGAUGGCAAGAUCCAUAUUGCAAACACUUAUCGGUGUAGCAUGGACCCGCGUCGUAUUAGAUAGGUAGACAGGUUACGGCCCAUCAAGGCGACGACCAGUACCCGGGCAGUGAGGGUGAGCGGCCACAUUGGCGCUGGGACACAGCCCAGACUCCUACGGGAUGCAGGAGUGGGUAAUAUUGCACAAUGGGGGAAACGCUGAUGCAGCGACGCCGCGUGAAUGAUGAAAUAAUUGGGGAUGUAAAGCUCUAGCAGCAGGGAAGAUAAUGACGGUACCUGACUAAGAAGCCCCGGCUAACUACGUG